rnacentral:rRNA from 1 species
GAUGCAGCCAUGCCGCGUGUGUGAAGAAGGCCUUCGGGUUGUAAAGCACUUUCAGCGAGGAGGAAAGGUCAGUAGCUAAUAAUUGCUGGCUGUGACGUUACUCGCAGAAGAAGCACCGGCUAAUUUAGUGCCAGCAGCCGCGGUAAUACUAAAGGUGCAAGCGUUAAUCGGAAUUACUGGGCGUAAAGCGCGCGUAGGUGGUUUGUCAAGUUGGAUGUGAAAGCCCAGGGCUCAACCUUGGAACAGCAUCCAAAACUGGCUCACUAGAGUACGAGAGAGGUUAGUGGAAUUUCCUGUGUAGCGGUGAAAUGCGUAGAGAUGGGAAGGAACACCAGUGGCGAAGGCGACUGACUGGCUCGAUACUGACACUGAGGUGCGAAAGCGUGGGGAGCAAACGGGAUUAGAUACCCCGGUAGUCCACGCCGUAAACGAUGUCUACUAGAAGCUCGGAACCUCGGUUCUGUUUUUCAAAGCUAACGCAUUAAGUAGACCGCCUGGGGAGUACGGCCGCAAGGUUAAAACUCAAAUGAAUUGACGGGGGCCCGCACAAGCGGUGGAGCAUGUGGUUUAAUUCGAAGCAACGCGAAGAACCUUACCUACUCUUGACAUCCAGUGAAUUUAGCAGAGAUGCUUUAGUGCCUUCGGGAACACUGAGACAGGUGCUGCAUGGCUGUCGUCAGCUCGUGUUGUGAAAUGUUGGGUUAAGUCCCGUAACGAGCGCAACCCUUGUCCUUAGUUACCAUCAUUAAGUUGGGGACUCUAAGGAGACUGCCGGUGACAAACCGGAGGAAGGCGGGGACGACGUCAAGUCAUCAUGGCCCUUACGAGUAGGGCUACACACGUGCUACAAUGGCGUAUACAAAGGGUUGCCAAGCCGCGAGGUGGAGCUAAUCUCAUAAAGUACGUCGUAGUCCGGAUUGGAGUCUGCAACUCGACUCCAUGAAGUCGGAAUCGCUAGUAAUCGCGUAUCAGAAUGACGCGGUGAAUACGUUCCCGGGCCUUGUACACACCGCCCGUCACACCAUGGGAGUGGGUUGCUCCAGAAGUAGAUAGUCUAACCCUCGGGAGGACGUUUACCACGGAGUGAUUCAUGACUGGGGUGAAGUCGUAACAAGGUAGCCCUAGGGGAACCUGGGGCUG